rnacentral:rRNA from 1 species
UACGGGGGGGGCAAGCGUUGUUCGGAAUUACUGGGCGUAAAGGGUUCGUAGGUGGCUUGUUAAGUCAGACGUGAAAUCCCUCGGCUCAACCGGGGAACUGCGUCUGAGACUGAUGAGCUCGAGUGCAGGAGAGGAACGCGGAAUUCCAGGUGUAGCGGUGAAAUGCGUAGAUAUCUGGAGGAAUACCGGUGGCGAAGGCGGCAUCCUGGACCGACAUUGACGCUGAGGAGCGAAAGCUAGGGGAGCAAACGGG